rnacentral:rRNA from 1 species
CACAAUGGGCGAAAGCCUGAUGCAGCAACGCCGCGUGAGGGACGACGGCUUACGGGUUGUAAACCUCUUUUAGCAAGGAAGAAGCGAAAGUGACGGUACUUGCAGAAAAAGCGCCGGCUAACUACGUGCCAGCAGCCGCGGUAAUACGUAGGGCGCAAGCGUAAUCCGGAAUUAUUGGGCGUAAAGAGCUCGUAGGCGGUUUGUCGCGUCUGCUGUGAAAUCCCGAGGCUCAACCUCGGGUCUGCAGUGGGUACGGGCAGACUAGAGUGCGGUAGGGGAGAUUGGAAUUCCUGGUGUAGCGGUGGAAUGCGCAGAUAUCAGGAGGAACACCGAUGGCGAAGGCAGAUCUCUGGGCCGUAACUGACGCUGAGGAGCGAAAGGGCGGGGAGCAAACAGGCUUAGAUACCCUGGUAGUCCACCCCGUAAACGUUGGGAACUAGUUGUGGGGUCCAUUCCACGGAUUCCGUGACGCAGCUAACGCAUUAAGUUCCCCGCCUGGGGAGUACGGCCGCAAGGCUA